GAUGAACGCUAGCGGGAGGCCUAACACAUGCAAGCCGAGCGGUAUUUGUUCUUCGGAACAGAGAGAGCGGCGCACGGGUGCGGAACACGUGUGCAACCUGCCUUUAUCUGAGGGAUAGCCUUUCGAAAGGAAGAUUAAUACCCCAUAAUAUAUUGAGUGGCAUCAUUUGAUAUUGAAAACUCCGGUGGAUAGAGAUGGGCACGCGCAAGAUUAGAUAGUUGGUGAGGUAACGGCUCACCAAGUCAAUGAUCUUUAGGGGGCCUGAGAGGGUGAUCCCCCACACUGGUACUGAGACACGGACCAGACUCCUACGGGAGGCAGCAGUGAGGAAUAUUGGACAAUGGGUUAGCGCCUGAUCCAGCCAUCCCGCGUGAAGGACGACGGCCCUAUGGGUUGUAAACUUCUUUUGUAUAGGGAUAAACCUACUCUCGUGAGAGUAGCUGAAGGUACUAUACGAAUAAGCACCGGCUAACUCCGUG
rnacentral:rRNA from 1 species